CCGGCUUGAGGCUUGCAGAUCCGUCAGAGGGACCAGAACUGCGGUUAACUCACAGCAUCCUGCGUAAGUCAAGAGCCAGAUGGAGACAGGUGAACACAUUUGAUGAAGCACGCCUAAGGGGCAUUGCUCUGUGUUUCUCCGGCAGCAGCUUGAUAACUGGUAGCAUUGGGACUGCCCUUCUGUGGAGAGUCCCUGAAGACACAUGGAACAGGUCCUUUGUGAGUCGAAGGUUACGUGGUGUCUUCUGCCUGUAUCAGAGAAAACUUAGAGUCUGGAAGAAUUUGCUGCCUCCGUGGAAUGUCCAUGUCUGGGAUAAAUUGAACGUCUGAACCCACAUUGGACCAAAUGGGGAGAGCAAAUAUCAGCAGGAGUCUGAGAGGACUCAGUGUGAGAGCAACAGCAGACACUCUGCCUAGACAUGGGGAGUAACACACAUGGAAGGGUAAAAACAAGGAAGAUAGCUGACUGAUCACACAAGUCCAGCAGAUCUAAAUACUACAGGUUCAGUAGGAAAGCUGAAAGAACUUAAGAAAUAUUCUUGACAUUCUUAUCUUUAAAUGUGUAGCUCAGUUUAGACAAUCAUUGUGGAGU